AGUCUAGUGGUUAAGACUCUGCACUUCCACUGCAGGGUGUGUGGGUUCAAUCCCUU
rnacentral:tRNA from 1 species